rnacentral:rRNA from 1 species
AUUGAGACAGGUGCUGCAUGGCUGUYGUCAGCUCGUGUCGUGAGAUGUUGGGUUAAGUCCCGUAACGAGCGCAACCCUUGUCCUUAGUUACCAGCACAUUAUGGUGGGCACUCUAAGGAGACUGCCGGUGACAAACCGGAGGAANGUGGGGAUGACGUCAAGUCAUCAUGGCCCUUACGGCCUGGGCUACACACGUGCUACAAUGGUCGGUACARAGGGUUGCCAAGCCGCGAGGUGGAGCUAAUCUCACUAAACCGAUCGUAGUCCGGAUCGCAGUCUGCAACUCGACUGCGUGAAGUCGGAAUCGCUAGUAAUCGCGAAUCAGAAUGUCGCGGUGAAUACGUUCCCGGGCCUUGUACACACCGCCCGUCACACCAUGGGAGUGGGUUGCACCAGAAGUAGCUAGUCUAA